rnacentral:lncRNA from 1 species
AACAAUCCACAAGAAACAUACAAUUAUUACAGCCUUCCAUUUUGUCAUCCAUCUGGUCAUUCUGCUCACAAAUGGGGUGGUCUUGGCGAGGUCCUUGGAGGAAACGAACUUAUUGACAGCCAAAUUGAGAUUAAGUUCCAAAGUACGCCAACUUCUUUUCAUGUUGGAAGGUUGAAUUUAGGCCUUGUGGUGAUCAUGGAUGAACUGUUGCAACUACUUAACUUUUCUUUUUUGCAGAAAAUGUGGAGAGGACCACUAUUUGUCAACUGGAGCUUGAUGAAUCAAAGGUCAAGCAGUUUAAGGAUGCAAUUGAGAAUGGCUACUGGUUUGAGUUCUUUAUGGGUAUGUUCUACACAGGUUUCUUGUAUUAAAAACUUAGAAUUAGGGGCUCAAAUAGAGUGAUCCAAAUCCAAAGAAAUACUUAUAUCUAGAACAGAAAUUUGAAAUUUGGUGAACAGACUGUCACUAGAAGAUUUGGAGGUCUAGUAUUUUAAGACCGGUGCUCUGACCAUGCAUGAAGACACUAGAAUCUGUUUGAGUUUCCAUAUUUUUCUCUUACUUAAUUUCAUAUUUCUCAUGAGCUAAUUUAUAUGCUCGUGUAUUCUUUUCUUGUAUGACCGGUAAGCCCCAAGGGAAAGGAAUUGCAGUUUCAGCUUCAAAUCUAUUAUUAAAUAUUCGAUACAUGUUCUUAUUUUGUAGUUUCUCUCUGACUGUUGUACAUAACAAUUCUUGAUUGAAGUGUAAAACUUAAAUUUUGACUUUCAUUUAUUCGACGAAUGAAUUCUUUUCUACAGUUUAUUUAUGUCUAUUGGUUAUGCAAAAAAUUGUUGCAAGACCUACACAUAUCUCAUCCAUACUUUCUUCUGAUGUUUUAUUUCAUGAUGCUGGAUGGGGAAUAAUCUUCAGAUGAUUUGCCUCUGUGGGGUAAGUGCUUUCUCUUAUUACAUUUUAGUUUGAUAUCUUGAUCAACGAAAAAUUUGGUGGUCCAAAGUGAUGCUUAUUGCCCCUUUUCAUUUAAGGCUUUGUUGGUGAGUUGCAUCCUGACAAGAAUAGCAAUAACGUGAAGCAUGUCCUUUACACGCAUAAGAACAUCAUCAUCAAAUAUAAUAAAGACCAGGUUUGUUUUCCACCUCCUGAUUUGCAUAGUUUUUUAAUAUUUUUUUUGGGGGUUGGCAUUCAAUAUAGAUAUGAUUUAACAACUAAAUUGUGAUUUUUAUAGAUUAUUCACGUGAAUCUCACCCAAGAAAACUUAAAACCGUUAGAGGUUGGGAAGACACUGGACUUGACAUAUGCUGUGAAGUGGAUUUCGACUAAUGUCACUUUCGCUCGACGAUUUGAUAUUUAUUUGGACUACCCAUUCUUUGAGCAUCAGGUAAUGGAUGACCCUCCUUCUCCCUUAUUGUGUUAUUUUCAUAUCUUUGCCCUAUAUCUUGAGAUUCUUCCUUCCAUCUAACUUAGUAAAUUCUUUAACUUCUUGUGGUAUUUUGUUACAUGCCUGUGUUCACAUACCAUAUCGAAAUAAUUUUCUGGCAUUUGGAAACUUUGCAGAUUCAUUGGUUCUCCAUUUUCAAUUCAUUCAUGAUGGUCAUUUUCCUCACUGGUUUGGUCUCUAUGAUAUUGAUGAGGACUCUUAGAAAUGACUAUGCUAAAUAUGCACGUGAAGAUGAUGAUCUGGAAACCCUGGUCAUACUUUCUUCCCUAUCAUAUGUUAUAUGCUAGUUUAAGCUUCAAUGUCUUCAACUGUCAUUUUUCUCUAUCUUAUGACUUUUUGUUUUCUUUUUGUACCUUUUAUCUUCUUUUUCAGGAGCGAGACGUUAGUGAAGAGUCUGGCUGGAAACUUGUGCAUGGGGAUGUUUUCCGGCCUCCUCGUAACUUAGUAAUUCUUUCAGCUGUUGUUGGUACAGGUGCUCAGCUUGCAUUGCUUGUUCUGCUUGUCAUCCUAUUGGCAAUUGUUGGAAUGUUGUAUGUUGGGUAAGUCAGGAAAUCUAACUUUUGUAUGGAAGUGUGUCUGACAUUUUAAAUUAAGGUGUAUAAGGAAACAAAUUUAAGUAAUUUUUUUUGUAAUGUUUUAAAAGUUGUGUCAAUAAGCACUCAUCACAACCUGCUUAUGACCGCUCCAUCUAACUACAAACAAAGGGGAAGAUUGCAAGUGACACUUUUGUUGCUUUUCUAUAUACAGGAGAGGAGCAAUUGUCACAACUUUCAUUGUAUGCUAUGCUCUUACGUCAUCCAUUUCUGGUUAUGUUAGUGCUGGGAUGUACUCACGCAAUGGGGGUAAGUAUUUCUACUAGUUUAGUGACUGCACUGAUUUGUUAACUUUAGGCUUCAGCGCAAUAUUGAUUUGUAAAACUACCCAACAUAUUUCUUUGAGGUUAUAAUACCAGUAUACUUUAAAGAUUUCUUUCAGCGGCUUCAGCACUUGGCUUAAUUCUUUGGCCCUUUCUAACGUUGUUAUCAUGACAGGUAAAAACUGGAUAAAAUCAAUGAUCUUCACAGCAUCUCUAUUUCCAUUUUUGUGCUUUGGAAUUGGAUUCAUCUUGAACACUAUUGCUAUAUUCUAUGGGUCUCUAGCAGCCAUUCCUUUUGGUACGAUGGUUGUGGUCUUUGUCAUUUGGGCUUUCAUUUCUUUUCCUUUGGCUCUUCUUGGUACGGUAAUUGGACGUAAUUGGAGUGGUGCCCCUAACAAUCCAUGUCGUGUGAAGACUAUUCCUCGUCCUAUCCCUGAGAAGAAAUGGUACCUCACACCAUCUGUUGUAUCCAUGAUGGGAGGAUUGCUGCCUUUUGGCAGUAUUUUCAUAGAGAUGUAUUUUGUCUUUACAUCCUUCUGGAACUACAAGGUAGUAUUGUCUUGUUUCUUGUUGGAAGUUGAAAAUAAUUUGGAGUUUAGUAGUUAAUUAACUGUCAGUGUAGUAGUUCAAAACUUCAGUACACUGCAUGCUAAGUAACAUAACAUUUAAAUAAUCAUUUGGUUACUUUUAUGUCAUGUUUGGAUUAAUUAUAGAAAAAAACGUUUAUCCAAAAAGUCAUUUUUAUUUUAACUCUUUUGAUAAAACUGUUUAAAAUAGUCGUUAAUUGUGUCUUGUAAACUAUUUUGAGAGGUUGACAUUUCAUUUCUUCUCUUUCCAAAAUGACUUAUUUUUAAACUAAACACUUAAAAAAGUUAACAAAACACACCCUAAAGCACUUUAUGGAUGAGAUGCUUGUUUCUUCAAGUUUUAAAAUCAAUUUAGGAAUUCCAACAAGACGUUCUAGGAUGUGUUGGCAGUAUUGGAAUAGCAACUUACUAGCUCGGCCUAUAACUUGUUGUCCCCCUAUCCACAGGUGUACUACGUAUAUGGAUUCAUGCUGCUGGUUUUUCUAAUUCUCAUCAUAGUUACUGUCUGCGUGACCAUUGUGGGAACAUAUUUCUUGCUUAAUGCCGAGAACUAUCACUGGCAGUGGACUUCAUUUUUCUCUGCUGCUUCAACUGCUGUCUAUGUCUACUUCUACUCGAUAUACUACUAUUAUGUGAAGACCAAGAUGUCCGGCUUUUUCCAAACCAGCUUCUAUUUUGGAUACACUUUGAUGUUCUGCCUUGGGUUGGGAAUUCUUUGUGGUGAGUUUUACAAUUUUACUGGCAUAUUCAAGUUAUUACGUGCUUUCUCGUUCACCUUAAAAGUGGCAUCUUCAACAAUUGAACAUGAAGAAGGCUUUGUCUUUCUUAGUUCUGUCUAUGAGCAAAUGUUGAUGGUCAUCUGAGAGCCAAAUUUCUUGCUAUGUUUUGAUUUCUGUAUAUUUUUGUUCAUGUUUCUUUUCUUAUGACAUAAAAUUUGAAUUGUGCAGGAGCUGUUGGUUACUUGGGUUCCAAUUUGUUCGUACGGAGGAUCUACAGGAACAUCAAAUGUGAUUAGGGGUAUUUUUGGAAGCAGAAGACCUACGCUACCUUGAAGCAUUUUCAUAGUGGAGGCAAUAACUUCGAGAAGCCCUUGACACAUGGGAGGCCUAGCAACGCAGUAAUACCUGUAGAAAUUAAAAGAUUUUGAGAUGGGGACAUGUUCUUAGCCCUGAGAUAUUUUCUUUUUGGUAAUUGAUGCGUUUUGCCCAAGCUGUAAUUGAAUAUCUUGAUUUAGAGUUUGAGAGAUUGCUUUUCAUAAUGUAGAAAAGUUGACCAAAUUGUUAGACCCAUGUCAUUUUUAUAAUAUUUUUUUUUUUGUCUUCACACAUCAUAAAGAAAUGACCGAGGUCUAUUUCUAUAUUAUGGUUCUAUUUGAAAUGAUAGUCGAUGGAUUGACACUCAAGAAUUACUGAAGGAGUAAGACUGGCUUUAGGAUAUGAUUUUGAGUUUGGCAGUUUGGGAUGUAGUUGUGUGGAGGAAGAAACUUAGAAUAUAAGAAUCCCCAAAUUACUGAAAACUUUGUGACUUGAAUGAAAAAGCAAAAAGCAAAAAGAAUGUUUAUUGUAUAGUUUCUUGAGAGAGAGACUUAAAAUGAUGUAGAAGAUUAGGUUAAGGCCAUAUGAUUCUGUUGAAAGGUAGAGGAGCGUGUGGAAGCCAUGGCCUCUCAUUCCCAUGGUCCCAUGAUUGUUGAUAAAAUGACAGAGUAUUAGCUCGUAGCCUUUCAUUUCAUUUCUUAUCUACAGGUGUGGGCUCCUCUUCUACUACAAGCUGAGUAAGGCAUACGAAUAAGAUCCAGAAGUCAGUGGCCAUUCAUCUUGGUAGAGCAGCAAAAUGACCAGUUCACCAGCACUUUCCAGUGUGACAUUGAACACCUCGUUUCUCCAGAAGCAGCCAACAACAAGGAUAAGGUUGGUGUUGAACUUUGGCCAAGAUUUGUUUAAGCUGAAGGGUGGCAGCAGCCGAGGUGGGCGAGUGAUUGCAAUGGCAGAGUACAACGUGAAGUUGAUCACACCAACAGGAGAGACGGAGUUCAAGUGCCCGGAUGACGAAUACAUUCUUGAUCGAGCUGAGCAAAUGGGAUUUGAUCUUCCAUAUUCAUGUAGAGCAGGGUCUUGCUCUUCUUGUGCAGGGAAAGUAGUAUCAGGGAAGGUGGAUCAGUCAGAUGGGAGCUACCUUGAGGAUGAUCAGAUGGAUGAAGGUUGGGUUUUAACUUGUGUUGCUUACCCGCAGUCAGAUGUUGUCAUUGAGACACACAAGGAGGAAUAUCUAUUUAGUUAGUUAGUUAAGUCUGCUUCAAGAUCUAGUUAUUUAUCUCCAUGAAAUGAUUCUGGCUUGCCUUCAGGUCCUUAAUCAGAUGUCUCAUGGAGUUUUUUGAUCACUUUUCUUAGUUUUACACCAACAUUCUAAAACCAAUUUAGGUUAGGAUUUAAAUUGAUAUAUUUGUAAAAAUUUUAGAUUUAAAUUGGUACAAUUAUUUAGUUUAGGGUUUAGAUUGACAUAACUUCAAAGUUCAGGGUUUAAAUUGAUGCACAUUAUCUUAUACGACUCCAAAAAUUUAGAGAUAUAAAUUGAUAUUUGUUCUAAUUUUAAAUAACAUCACUAUGCAAGAGACUAUCGAUAACUAAGGUCCUCAUUUCAAGUAGAGAAUACCUCACUAUUGUAAUUAGAGCGUAAAACACACCACUAACAUAAUUAAAGUCUCAACAGAUUUUUUCAAUAAAAUCCAUAGAGGGUUCAUCCUUAGUUUACAUCAUAUUCGCAGACAGCUCGUUGAGAGCACGAAUGAUGUCUAACGAGUUCGAUUAUACCCACAAAAGAUGGCUGUUGACAAUAUAACCUCCCCUUCCAAUACGUCAAUGGGCUUAGUGCAAAUAGAAGAUCUUUGAGAGUCACAAACUGCCCACCCCACCCCUCCAACCAUCUAUCCUAACUCCCACGCCUCACUGACCUUAUUUCCAGAAAGCUGAAGACUUAUCAUUCAUCUUGAAGAUGCAAUGAAGAUUGAACUUCUCAUCAUCGCUAUGCAAGGAAUGAAGCUAAUUUUUGUAGCUCCACAAAACAAUAAUCACCUUCGUAAGAUCCAUAUUUCUCAGUUUGCCUACGGUCCUCGCCUAAAGGUCCAUCGACAUCGACUACCAAUCCUCUUUGCAAGAGAUAAGUGAACCAAAUGAGAUUAGAAAAGUAUUGUUCCCACACUUUUUGAGCAAACUAACACAAACCACAUAUUGUGGCAUGCGGUCUCCUUGUCUUUCCUGCAAAAUAAGCCAAAAAGAGUUCAUAGAAACUUUAGAAGUUGUGUUAUGAAGUAACUACGUGUUGGUUUGAUCUUUUGUAAAUUGACUAAAAUUCAGAAGAAACAUAGAUAGUCUAAAGGAAAGAAAAAUUGAAGUUUCACUUAAUUUCAUGUUUGAGAGCUAAAUUACAUUGUUAAAUAACUUAGGUUAGGCUAGGAAUUAAAUUGCAAAUGAUUUACCUUUAGCUUUACUAAUGAAAUUAAGUGACAUAUGCUCUUUAUUGGUUCAUGAUAUUUCAUAAAGUUUUGAAGUUUUUGCCAUUUAAAUUUGUGGUUUUCAAGUCUGUCCUUAAAUCCAAUUCUUCUAAAGGUUUUUAGUUAGGGAAAUACAAAUCUGAGAUAAUUUGCCAUUUUUUCUUGUUUUGGUGUGGUUUUGAAGCAUUAUUUUGAUCACAUUCUUUUAAAGCUCAAAUAUAUGUUUUGGUUCCAUUGUUUAAAAUGCUUCAAUUUAAUAUUUAAGAUAUGUUUGGAAUUUUAAUUUAAAGAAUAUAAUGUUUGGUAACGUCUGGAAAUAGCUUUGAAAUGUAUUUUAAAUAGUUUUUAUUACGUGAAUUUAAUAAAAUUAAGUUUUUUUAAAAAUAUUUUUUUAUUAAUAUAUGCAUGUAUUUAUUUGUUUCGAAUGUUUUUUAAAUAUAGAAAAUGAGCUAAUUUUUUUUAAAAAUAAAUAUAACGAAAUUAUACUUUCUAUAGACUCAAAAUAAUCAACAAUUACUUCAGUGAUAGACAUUGAGAGAUCGGAGUCUAUUAUUGAUAGAAAGUAGUUCUUCUUUCUUAUUUCCUUCUUCGUUAUGGUUCCUUGUGUGCAUUUUUAUCCAACAAGUUCCAAAUCUUUGAAAGAAAAGAUUUUUCAAAGAGAAAAAUUGUGAGUUUAAAAUUAUUUUUAAGGCCAAUAUCAAUUUACAAAUCUAAAUUUUAGGUCAUAUCAAUUAAAACUUUGAACUUUAAUUGUCACGAUGCCAUGUAAAAUAAAAGGAUCAAAUUCUCUUCUCGUGUAUGGAAAUUGAAAUCAAUAUAAGAUAAUUUAGUAAAUAAAGAUACUACUUUAAUUAUCAUAUAAAAUAUCAAUAGUUUCAAUCUCUUGCUUUACCACGGUUGAACUCAAAACAAUAACAAUAAAAAAUUCAAUGGGACAACAUGAGCGUAAAUCCAACUUGUUGUCCAUACAUGGGUGGAUUUAUUAAGGAGUCGGGACUCCUCUCACAUUCUCGAUUUUUGUAUUUUAAUAUUAAUUUUGAAGUGUUAGAUUGUAAUAUAUAUUAAAUAAUGUUUUACCUUUACUAAAUUCUAGUUUUGGUGUAAUAACUAUGCUCUUCUACAAAAUCGUAAGGUUUCGGGGUUAGAUAUUUGCCUAUUAUAAUUAUUUUUGUCAUUUGCUGCAUUCGAUAAACAAAAACUUAGUCGACUUGCUCAGUUUUAUCCAAGAGAAUUUUCAGCUAUUGAACUCUCUUGAGUUUGUUGAACUAAAAAGCAUUGGUGAUCUUGUAGUGAAAAUAGUUGUUACAAAAAGAGAUAAGGUCUACCCAUUAUUUUAUCCAUUGCUCACAUUGACAUUGAUUUUACCGGUUGCAACAACUACUUAGAGAAAACUUUUUUUGCUAUGAAUAUUAUGAAGACUCGACUACGUAAUCGAGUUGGAGAUCGAUAGAUGAAUUAUUGUCUUAUAGCUUAUAUUGAGAAAUAUUUCUUGGAUAAGUUGAUAAUAAACUUAUCAUAAAUCGAUUUUAAAAUAUAAAAACUCGUAGAGAAUAGUUGCAAUACGUAUUAAAUUAAUUAAUCUUUAAAGCUACUAAUAUUUUUUAAAACAUUUUUUAGUGUGUUUGUUAUAUAGUGUUCUUACAUAAAAUUUCUAGAUCCACCAUUGUGUUCAUAUAUAUUUCAUUUAACAUGUGUUAAAAAUGAAAAAGUCAGUGAUUUGAAUUUUCUCAUUCUAUCGAAUUAAAGAAAACUGUGUGUCAAUUCAUUCAAAUUUGAUAAGAUUCAUCCACUUCAACCCUUCUCUAUUCAUUACUAACCAAUGCAAAAAUUCAAUGACACCAAAUUGAAGUUCCACCCUUGUCUUAAGAAGAAUGUUUACACAAUGUCCUAAUCUUUUAAUGCAGUGUGUUUUUAUUAGUUUCAAGAAUUUAGUGGAUCCACUUAUCAUAUAAAUGUAAAAUAGAAAAUACUCAUACAAAGUCAUCACUAUGACACAAGUAGUCACCAAUAGACAAAAUUCUUUUAAUGAAUAAGUUAUUAUUUCAUCAUUUAGUUUCCAAAACUUAUAUAUUUUGAGUAAUUGAGAUUUGAAUUUAGGUUUGGUUUAAUUCCUUCAAGUUGGGAGAGUGACAUUUAGUUCUUUCUAAGUUUUGAGUUUUUAAAUUGUUUUUAAGUAAGAUUACAACUAAAUGAUAUAACAAAAUGGUGACGUUAUAGUUAGAUAUGUCGUUUAGACUUUUUUUAAAUUGCUAAUUCUUGUCAAAGAAAGUUAGAUUACAAGGUUUUUAUAAUACAAUAGGAUUGGAGGAAUUUGAAUCACAAGAUUGCAUAUUCAGUUAAACUACUUUUGCAAAAAUGAAAACUCAAUGAUGGAAAAAGAGUUCAAAUCUUGUGUAAUGUUCCAAGUUUAGGUGUGAGUCGUGAAUGAAUUAGGAUCAUUUCUAAUUGAGAUAGACUUAAAAACAUAAGAUAAUGGUUAAGAAAAACCCAAAAGAAUUGAAUGUUUCUACGUAUUCCAAGAAUGUGCCUUCUUCUUUUGGAUGACUCAAUCAUAUAAACUACAAAACAUUGGUGUUAGUUUGUGAUGCCAAUAGCGUUAAAUGGUAGAGACAAAGAGUAAUGUCGAGACCAUUAGACAUCGAAUCUAGAUUCCAAAUCCUAGUAAAUACUCGGGCUUGGGACAUCUCGAGACCAAAAGUAUAUUUUGUUUAUUGAUUAUUAUUGUAUUUUAAAAAAAUGGUUUAUGAAGGCAUUAGUACUCGGUAGCAGCUGUUGUUCACAUUUUGAAACCAAAUCUUUGGAAGGAUAAGAAUCCACAACCAUUACCAUUCGUUGCCAAAAGAUAAGGCGUUAACUCACAUCCACACGCUCUCUAUUUCACUCUCCACGUUAUAGCCACACGACCCAAAAAUCCUCUUUAAAAAACCCUCUCCACUCUCUCAAUUCCAUUUCAUCUCAUCUCAUCUCCAAUCCAACACAAGAACAAUAAGAAAAAUGAGCAGCACCACUGCAAUCACCUCCCCAUUUCCGGCCACCUCCUUCAUCCGUCGGAAUCCUACCGGUGGAGUGAGUUUCAAGCCAUUUCCCAACAUGGGUGAGUCUCUGUACGGGCUGAAACACCGCGGCGGACGACUGGCGAUGAAGGCAUACAAGGUGAAACUCAUAACCCCAGAUGGAGAGAAAACGGUUGAAUGUGAUGCUGAUCUUUACAUUUUGGAUGCGGCUGAGGAAAGUGGGCUUGAUCUUCCUUACUCUUGCAGAGCUGGGGCUUGUUCUUCAUGCGUUGGGAAAGUGGUAUCAGGGAAAUUGGAUCAAUCUGAUCAGAGUUUUCUUGAUGAUGAGCAAGUGGCUGAAGGUUGGGUUUUAACUUGUGUUGCUAGGCCUGAGUCUGAUCUUGUAAUUGAGACUCACAAGGAGGAUUCCUUUGCUGGUUAAAACAGAGGAACAAGAAGGGAUUAAACUUAUUUUUUCUUUUUAU